rnacentral:rRNA from 1 species
UACGUAGGGCGCAAGCGUUAUCCGGAAUUACUGGGCGUAAAGGGUUCGUAGGUGGCCUACUAAGUCAGACGUGAAAUCCCUCAGCUUAACUGGGGAACUGCGUCUGAUACUGGAAGGCUUGAGGACAGGAGAGGAACGCGGAAUUCCAGGUGUAGCGGUGAAAUGCGUAGAUAUCUGGAGGAACACCGGUGGCGAAGGCGGCGUUCUGGACUGUUUCUGACACUGAGGAACGAAAGCCAGGGGAGCAAACGGG